UACGGAGGGGGCAAGCGUUGUUCGGAAUUACUGGGCGUAAAGGGCGCGUAGGCGGACCUUCAAGUCAGGGGUGAAAGGCCUGAGCUCAACCUGGGAACUGCCUUUGAAACUGGAGGUCUUGAGUCCGGGAGAGGAUGGCGGAAUUCCCAGUGUAGAGGUGAAAUUCGUAGAUAUUGGGAAGAGCACCGGUGGCGAAGGCGGCCUUCUGGUCCGGCACUGACGCUGAGGCGCGAAAGCGUGGGGAGCAAACAGG
rnacentral:rRNA from 1 species